rnacentral:ncRNA from 1 species
UUCAGCAAAGGGCAAACCUUCUUGAAAAAAAGGGGCGCAAAGUCACGGGUCUAAGGUAUGAUACGUACUACGACGGCUGGGCUACCUGA